UCUCUGCCUUCAGUCCACACACCCCUGUGGCGGAGGGGGCAGCUACCCCCAUCGUCCUUCCGCUGUGGGUAGACCUCCGGUUCACCCACACGGACUAUUAGUCUCCUGAGGUCCUGGAUCUUACAGACCGCUGACCUCGCCUCCACUCCAGAGGCCCUGUCUCCCACCAGGCAGUGUUUUUAACUUCUAUGAAUAAGACACAGGUGGUUAUCCAUGGACGUGGUGAGGACAUAGAGAGGACCCUUCAAAGGGAACCGGAGGUGAGUGGCCGGCCCGGAGUCCAGCUCGGAGCAGUGAGCAUCGGGAGGCGAAGGGUGUACGUACCACCCACAGGUGGCAGAUGCUCAGCUGAUGGUCGUGGAAGCGUUGCAGUGGGAGGCCGGAGAUGGUGAGGAGCAGCAGCUGCGGCCCGCUGUCCAAGACAAUCACAGUCCCGUCACUGACUCCCAUCCAGACAGGACUCUCCAUGUGAACUGGCAAGGGCCCAGCAGGCCGCGCAGCACCCCAAGACCGGCAGAGACACAGACAGAAGGGCUGCGCGUGUACCCGGUCUCAGUAAACACUCCGC